CAUUCCAGUACCAACACUGCACACAUAUACACUACUACAUUCCAACGCUAACACUGCACACAAAUACACCACUGCAUGUGUAUCUGUGUGUAUCUCAGUGUUUGUGUAAGUGUGCAUCUGUGUGGCAUGCAUUCAUUUGCCAACACUGCACACAAAUACACCCCUGCAUGUGUACCCGUGUGUCUGUGUGCAUCUUAAUGUGUGUCUAUAUCUGUGUCAGUGUGUGUAAGUGUGUAUCUCUGUGUGUGGAUGUGCCAGUGUUUUUAUCUUUGUAUCUGUGUGUGUGUGUAUGUAUGUAUGU